rnacentral:pre_miRNA from 1 species
GAUCUACUCCCUCCGUUUGGAAUUACUUGUCUACGAAAUGAAUGUAUGUAGAUGUAUUAAUUGUUGCAGAUACAUCCAUUUGUAUCCAUUUUUUUGAGAAGUAAUUCUGAAUGGAGCGAGUAACUG